AAUAACUCAUAGAAGGUGUUUUAAAUACUCUUGUUAGUUACCAUGUUGCAAACAUUUAAGUUAAACCUCCAUGUAUUAACAUUUAGAUGUAUUCACAGGGGGAUAUGAAAUGAGAUGAAGGAAGCCCUGCAAAAACUAUCUAGUUGUUACUACUUGAAGAAUAUCGAAGGAACUAUUCAUGGCCGGUUAAAAUUGUGCUACUGAAAUAAUCUAGGGGGAUAUGAAAUGAGAUGAAGGAAGCCCUGCAAAAACUAUCUAGUUGUUACUACUUGAAGAAUAUCGAAGGAACUAUUCAUGGCCGGUUAAAAUUGUGCUACUGAAAUAAUCUAGGUUAGUUUGAAAAUCCUAAUGUCUGUUGCUAGUGGAGAAGGGGGGGAUUUUUAUGGACAUUGGGGCAUUGAACAAAGCCAUUAGUUAUUU